UCUCUGGUAGUAUAGUGGUUAGUAUCCGCGCCUGUCACACGCGAGACCCGGGUUCAAUUCCCGGCCAGAGAG
rnacentral:tRNA from 1 species